GUGCAGAUGGCCUAACGGUAAGGCGUCGGGAUGUGGCCCCGAAGACAAGGGUUCAACUCCCUACUGCACCCCA
rnacentral:tRNA from 1 species